UACGUAGGGUGCAAGCGUUAAUCGGAAUUACUGGGCGUAAAGCGUGCGCAGGCGGUUGGGCAAGACAGAUGGGAAAUCCCCGGGCUCAACCUGGGAAUUGCAUUUGUGACUGCACGGCUAGAGUGUGUCAGAGGGGGGUAGAAUUCCACGUGUAGCAGUGAAAUGCGUAGAGAUCCGGAGGAACACCGACGGCGCAGGCAGCGUCCUGGCCGCUUGCUGACACUGAGGCACGAAAGCUGGGGGAGCAAACAGG
rnacentral:rRNA from 1 species